AGGACGAACGCUGGCGGCGUGCUUAACACAUGCAAGUCGAGCGGUAAGGCCUUUCGGGGUACACGAGCGGCGAACGGGUGAGUAACACGUGGGUGACCUGCCCUCCACUCUGGGAUAAGCCUUGGAAACGGGGUCUAAUACCGGAUAUGACCUUCCUCCGCAUGGGGGUGGGUGGAAAGCGUUUAGUGGUGGGGGAUGGACCCGCGGCCUAUCAGCUUGUUGGUGGGGUAGUGGCCUACCAAGGCGACGACGGGUAGCCGGCCUGAGAGGGCGACCGGCCACACUGGGACUGAGACACGGCCCAGACUCCUACGGGAGGCAGCAGUGGGGAAUAUUGCACAAUGGGCGGAAGCCUGAUGCAGCGACGCCGCGUGAGGGAUGACGGCCUUCGGGUUGUAACCUCUUCACCUACGACGAGCGAGAGUGACGGUAGUGGGAGAAGAAGCACCGGCCAACUACGCGCCAGCAGCCGC
rnacentral:rRNA from 1 species